rnacentral:rRNA from 1 species
AGGAAAAGAAACCAACAGGGAUUGCCUCAGUAACGGCGAGUGAAGCGGCAACAGCUCAAAUUUGAAAUCUGGCUCCUUCGGGGCCCGAGUUGUAAUUUGGAGAAGAUGCUUCGGGUGUGGUCCCGGCCUAAGUUCCUUGGAACAGGACGUCACAGAGGGUGAGAAUCCCGUACGUGGCCGGUGGCCGCUCCCGUGUGAAGCUCUUUCGACGAGUCGAGUUGUUUGGGAAUGCAGCUCAAAAUGGGUGGUAAAUUUCAUCUAAAGCUAAAUAUUGGCCAGAGACCGAUAGCGCACAAGUAGAGUGAUCGAAAGAUGAAAAGCACUUUGGAAAGAGAGUUAAACAGUACGUGAAAUUGUUGAAAGGGAAGCGCUUGCAACCAGACUUGCGCGGGGUUGAUCAUCUGGUGCUCGCACCGGUGCACUCGACCCCGCGCAGGCCAGCAUCGGUUUGGGCGGCUGGAUAAAGGUCCUAGGAACGUGGCCCCCUUCGGGGGGUGUUAUAGCCUAGGGCGCAAUGCAGCCUGCCCGGACCGAGGACCGCGCUUCGGCUAGGAUGCUGGCGUAAUGGUUGUCAGCGACCCGUCUUGAAACACGGACCAAGGAGUCUAACAUCUAUGCGAGUGUUUGGGUGCCAAACCCAUACGCGUAAUGAAAGUGAACGGAGGUGAGAGCCCUUAAGGGUGCAUCAUCGACCGAUCCUGAUGUCUUCGGAUGGAUUUGAGUAAGAGCAUAGCUGUUGGGACCCGAAAGAUGGUGAACUAUGCCUGAAUAGGGUGAAGCCAGAGGAAACUCUGGUGGAGGCUCGCAGCGGUUCUGACGUGCAAAUCGAUCGUCAAAUUUGGGCAUAGGGGCGAAAGACUAAUCGAACCAUUAACCGACCGCUAGGUGGUUAAGAGACGGCCGAGAGGCCCGUCUAGUGGUGAUCGCACCGCAACACUGUCAAAUUGCGGGGACGUCCUACGGAUGCACAGCUACCGCCGCCCGCUCGAAAGACCGGGCGCGCACCAGGGUAAUGACCUCGGGGAUGGUAACAACGCUGUGCGGAGGGACUACCCGCAGCCAAGCCCUGUAAGAUGGGUGCAGUUCACAGACUAGAUGUCAGUGGGCGGGAGCGGACGCUCCUGCUUAAGUUAUAGUCGGUCCCCUAGGUAACUAGGCCGGUCAGCGGAAGCCCGUAGGGGGCGAUCUUGCACCUGCAAGCCCUACGAGCCCAGGCUGAUCGGGGGUGUGCGGUCGGUGACCGCAGCACCUGGGCGAGGAACGGGGGGCCGCCGCGUGCGGUGACUGCCCCCGCCUCGAAACGCUAGUAGC